GGUCAAGCUACAAAGGGCGCAUGGUGAAUGCCUUGGCACCAGAAGCCGAAGAAGGACGCGAUAAGCUGCGAUAAGCUUUGGGUAGGCGCAAAUAGCCAGUGAUCCAGAGAUUUCCGAAUGGGGCAACCCACAUUACUAACGUAAUGUACUGUAAACUGAAUUCAUAGGUUUAUAGAGGUAUACCCGGGGAACUGAAACAUCUAAGUACCCGGAGGAAGAGAAAGAAAAAUCGAUUUUCUAAGUAGCGGCGAGCGAAAGGGAAAGAGCCCAAACCAGGAA
rnacentral:ncRNA from 1 species